CCCUUAGAUGUCCUGGGCCGCACGCGCGCUACACUGAGUGUCUGAGAUACGAGUCUGCCUGGUCCGGCAAGGUCUAGGUAAUCGCUAAAAGACACAUCAUGCUUGGGAUAGAUUAUUGCAAAUAUUAAUCUUGAACGAGGAAUUCCUAGUAAGCGCAAGUCAACAGCUUGCGUUGAUUACGUCCCUGCCCUUUGUACACACCGCCCGUCGCUACUACUGAUUGGAUGUUUAAGCGAGGUUCUCGAACUGCUAGCGACUUAGCUUCGGUGAGGUCGCAGUGUGGGAAGUGAACCUAGCUUGGGGGUCGAGAGGAAGGUGAAGGCGUAACA
rnacentral:rRNA from 1 species